rnacentral:rRNA from 1 species
AACAAACGCUGGCGGCGUGCCUAAUACAUGCAAGUCGAACGGGGAAAGCUUUCGGGUGAGUACUAGUGGCGCACGGGUGAGUAACGCGUGGAUAAUCUGCCUUAGAGUGGGGGAUAACUAGUCGAAAGAUUAGCUAAUACCGCAUAAGACCACAAGAACUGCGGUUCAAGGGGGCAAAGGGUUUUCGCUCUAAGAUGAGUCCGCGUAAGAUUAGCUAGUUGGUGGGGUAACGGCCUACCAAGGCGACGAUCUUUAACUGGUCUGAGAGGAUGAUCAGUCACACUGGAACUGAGACACGGUCCAGACUCCUACGGGAGGCAGCAGUAGGGAAUAUUGCACAAUGGAGGAAACUCUGAUGCAGCGACGCCGCGUGAGUGAUGAAGGCCUUCGGGUCGUAAAGCUCUGUCGCAGGGGAAUAACACAAUGAAGGUACCCUGUAAGAAAGGAUCGGCUAACUUCGUGCCAGCAGCCGCGGUAACAC